AACGAACGCUGGCGGCAUGCCUAACACAUGCAAGUCGAACGAGACCUUCGGGUCUAGGGGCGCACGGGUGCGUAACGCGUGGGAACCUGCCCUUAGGUUCGGAAUAACUCCCCGAAGGGGGUGCUAAUACCGGUGAAUGUCAUCGGACCAAAGAUUUAUUGCCUUGGGGUGGGGGCGCGUUGGAUUAGCUGGUUGGUAGGGUAAAAGCCUGCCAAGGCCAGGAUCCAUAGCUGGUGGGAGAGGAUGAUCCGCCACACUGGGAAUGAGACACGGCCCAGACUCCUACGGAAGGCAGGAGUGGGGAAUAUUGGACAAGGGGCGAAAGCCCGAUCCAGCAAUGCCGGGGGAGAGAUGAAGGCCUUAGGGUUGUAAAGCUCUUUUAGCCGGGAUGAUAAUGACAGUACCGGGAGAAUAAGCUCCGGCUAACUCCGUG
rnacentral:rRNA from 1 species